rnacentral:rRNA from 1 species
UACGUAGGGUGCGAGCGUUGUCCGGAAUUAUUGGGCGUAAAGAGCUUGUAGGCGGUUUGUCGCGUCUGCUGUGAAAUUUCGGGGCUCAACCCCGAACUUGCAGUGGGUACGGGCAGACUAGAGUGUGGUAGGGGAGACUGGAAUUCCUGGUGUAGCGGUGAAAUGCGCAGAUAUCAGGAGGAACACCGGUGGCGAAGGCGGGUCUCUGGGCAAUAACUGACGCUGAGGAGCGAAAGCGUGGGGAGCGAACAGG